UACGUAGGGUGCAAGCGUUAAUCGGAAUUACUGGGCGUAAAGCGUGCGCAGGCGGCUUUGCAAGACAGAUGUGAAAUCCCCGGGCUUAACCUGGGAACUGCAUUUGUGACUGCAUGGCUGGAGUGCGGCAGAGGGGGAUGGAAUUCCGCGUGUAGCAGUGAAAUGCGUAGAUAUGCGGAGGAAUACCGAUGGCGAAGGCAAUCCCCUGGGCCUGCACUGACGCUCAUGCACGAAAGCGUGGGGAGCAAACAGG
rnacentral:rRNA from 1 species